CAAUAGCGUAUAUUAAAGUUGUUGCAGUUAAAAAGCUCGUAGUUGGAUUUCGGGGCAGCCUGGCUGGUCCGACGCAAGGCGAGUACUGGUCAGCCGCCCUUCCUCUCGAAAGCCCCGACUGCUCUUCGUUGCAGUGGUCGGGUAGUUCGGGACGUUUACUUUGAAAAAAUUAGAGUGUUCAAGGCAGGCCUACGCCUGAAUACAUUAGCAUGGAAUAAUGGAAGAGGACCUCGGUCCUAUUUUGUUGGUUUCCAGGGCCGAAGUAAUGAUUAAGAGGGACAGUUGGGGGCAUUCGUAUUUAAUUGUCAGAGGUGAAAUUCUCGGAUUUAUGAAAGACGAACAACUGCGAAAGCAUUUGCCAAGGAUGUUUUCAUUAA
rnacentral:rRNA from 1 species